rnacentral:rRNA from 1 species
UCGGGAAUUUUGGGCAAUGGGCGAAAGCCUGACCCAGCAACGCCGCGUGAGGGAUGAAGUAUUUCGGUAUGUAAACCUCGAAAGAAUGGGAAGAAUAAAUGACGGUACCAUUUAUAAGCUCCGGCUAACUACGUGCCAGCAGCCGCGGUAAUACGGAGGGAGCAAGCGUUGUUCGGAUUUACUGGGCGUAAAGGGCGCGUGGGCGGCGCGGUAAGUCACUUGUGAAAUCUCUGAGCUUAACUCAGAACGGCCAAGUGAUACUGCUGUGCUAGAGUGCGGAAGAGGCAACCGGAAUUCUUGGUGUAGCGGUGAAAUGCGUAGAUAUCAAGAGGAACACCUGAGGCGAAGGCGGGUUGCUGGGCCGACACUGACGCUGAUGCGCGAAAGCCAGGGGAGCAAACG